AACACAAACUUUUGGGGAUCGGUUUAUCCAACUCAUUUUGCAGUUCCACACCUCAAAAAAACCAAUGGAAAGAUCAUUGUCAAUUCCUCAUUAGGUGCUUUGUUGGGCGCACCUGGAGGCUGCGUCUAUAACGCAAGUAAAGCAGCAUUGAUCAGCUUCUAUGAGUCCUUAAGAUUUGAAGUUUCCCCAACGGUAACAAUAACAAUCUUGAUGCUCGGUUUCAUACAAACAGACUUCAUAACAGCCAAAUAUACACGUUUAAAAAAAGAUUUGAGAGAUGUAGUCCCAACAAUGGAGGCUGAACCAUGUGCAAAAGUUGUCGUUGAUGGUAUACGUAAAGGUGCAACAUACAUUACAGAACCAAGGAUCUUUAAGACUAAUGUAUUGUUAAAGUUACUUUUUCCACAAGUACACCAUUUCUUCUACAGUUGUUUUUCCUCCUUAGUAGAGAACUACAAAUCCUCCUUAUAAAGAACUAAAAAAGAGAUGGAUAAUUUUUUGUUUAAAAAAUGUUGGUGUAAUUGUUGGAUGUGGAGUGGAG